GCCCUUGUGGCACAAUGGUUAAGCACUCAGCUGCUAACCCAAAGGGGGGUGGUUCAAACCCAUCCAGCGGCU
rnacentral:tRNA from 1 species